UACGUAGGGGGCAAGCGUUGUCCGGAUUUACUGGGCGUAAAGCGCGUGUAGGUGGCACGCUAAGUCUGCUGUGAAAGCUCCUCGCUUAACGGGGAGAGGUCGGGUGGAAACUAGCGAGCUAGAGGACGGUAGAGGAGAGUGGAAUUCCCGGUGGAGCGGUGAAAUGCGUAGAUAUCGUCUGGAACGCCAAAAGGUGAAAACAGACUGCUGGGAGUGUGCUGACGCUGAGACACGAAAGCCAGGGGAGCAAACGGG
rnacentral:rRNA from 1 species